rnacentral:piRNA from 1 species
GCUGGUCCGAUGGUAGUGAGUUA